rnacentral:rRNA from 1 species
UGCCUACGGGGGGCUGCAGUGAGGAAUAUUGGUCAAUGGGCGGAAGCCUGAACCAGCCAUUCCGCGUGAAGGAAGAAGGCCUUACGGGUUGUAAACUUCUUUUCUAUAAGAAGAAUAACCGGGACGAGUUUCCGGGAUGACGGUAUUAUAGGAAUAAGCAUCGGCUAACUCCGUGCCAGCAGCCGCGGUAAUACGGAGGAUGCAAGCGUUAUCCGGAUUUAUUGGGUUUAAAGGGUGCGCAGGUUGUUUGACAAGUCAGUGGUGAAAGUCUGCCGCUUAACGGAAGGAUUGCCAUGGAUACUGUUGGACUUGAGUAUGGAUGAGGUAUGCGGAAUGUGUAGUGUAGCGGUGAAAUGCAUAGAUAUUACACAGAACACCGAUUGCGGAGGCAGCAUACUGGGCCAUUACUGACGCUGAGGCACGAAAGCGUGGGGAUCAAACAGGAUUAGAUACCCCAGUAGUC